CGCUGCGGUCUGAUCCCUGGUGAAGCGGUUCCUGGUGCUGCCACCAAGGCUACCGCUGUUUGCCUGGUGUCCCAGGGUUCCGCAUGAAGCCCACACUGCCCACCCCGACGCGGGAGGAAGCGUUCCGGGAAGAUGGUGUCUCAGUGCCCUUCCGUGCCAGCUGCCUGUCCCGCCUGUCAGCUCGGGCUCGCCCAGGUCACCUCCUGCUCCUCUGUGAGCUCAGGCCGCUACCUCUCCCCCCACCGCAAGGCUGAGCCAUCACGCCCAAUCCGCUGCCCUCUGCACCCAGCAGAAAGCCGAGGGAGGAGGCACCGCACCUGCCUCUGAUAAGUAUCGCAGAAAUGCAAAAUUCAACUUGGCUGUGGGGCAGGGUGGGGCCGACAGGACCGACUGGCUCCCCGCUGGCAGCGUUGGCAGCGGCUGUGCAUAUUUGCAAUGCUUCCUCCAGCCUGCGACAACCGACUGCAAACAGCACAGCGCUGGGUCGCUGGCUGCGGGGAGCUGGUUUGUGCAGAGAAGCAGGGAGCACUGUUUGCAGCAAUGUUGUGAGCGCUGAACCGAGGUGGGGAACCUUCCAGAGCAGCCCAAGCUCUGGCAGGAAGUUCCACGAGCCGCGGAAGGCCACUGAUGAAAAGGGGCGUCUGAGUCACACACGGGCGGGGGGCGGGGUGCUCCCUACUCCGAGGUCUAAGUUCCAGCCCCCACAUGCCCGCUAUCGUUAGUAGCCGUGGUGUCUGCGAGGUGGGAGCUUCUGUCCCUCCAGUCCAGUCGACGCAGGGAAGGAAAUUAGGUCAUGGAGAUUUGGCCUUGAAAAGUGCAAUUUAAGUUUAUGGAGAUAAGAAUGAGCGUUAUAACGUUGCAGUUAAUAAAAAGCUCUUCCUGGGAGCAAAGAGAGCUGGAGCUGGAGAACCGAUCCCCAGCGAUAGGUUAGCAUAUAAUGGUAGGGGAUGAGGGAAGAGCUUAACUGCUCCGGGUACAGAAAUCCAGAAAGCAAACUGGAAUCUGCAGGGAGAGUCGAGGAUAGUUUCAAGUGUGACCAUUAUGCCUCCCCAGCUCUGCCAAGCCAUCCAUCCAUCCACUCAUCCAUCCGCUCAUUCCCCGUGUCACAUGUCUGAUCUUGACCACUGGUCCACAGGGCCCUGGCGGAAGGAGAGGACACAGAGGUAGAAAGACACCCACGGACAAACAGCACGGUCCAGCCCGAGGGGUCACUGCCAGGAGCACCGUGGGCGGCGCCAACCCCAUGGUCUGGCGGCUGAAGAGAAGCUGAGGAUACAGCUAGCUGUUCUCUCGGGACGGGACGUCUGGAGCCAGAGCUGGGGGAAACAGAGCACCGCCCAGGACAAGACUCAAGUGGAAGGGAAAGCAAGAGAUUGAAGAGGCGAAGGGAAGACUCAGGAGUGAGGAGGGCCCUCGCCACAGAGAGCAGUUUGGCCUUUACUGGGUGACUCUCAGAUCGAGUCUGGGCUCUUUUUUCAGUCACUGCUUUGCUUUAUCCCCGGUGCCUACAAAACCCCAGGCACCGAAUGAAGCCAAGAAGUGGCCGGCGAUGCCUUUUUAAAAAUUCAGAUGUGAAGAAGGAGUCAGAGGGCCCUGGGCUCUCCACAGUGGGGUUGGAGAGGCGGCUCUUAACUGGCGAUGGGAAGGUGUGAAGUGUGGGCAGGCGGGAAGGAAGUGGAAGUCACCCAGCACGGCUCCAGAGCCUUCACUCUCACAGGCAAUGAAAGGAAGGCACUCGACGGUCACUUCCUUCCAGAAGCCUCAUUGGAGUCACGUGGCUGGGGCUCCUACAACUCAGCAACUGACGUGGUGCUUCCUGUACACUUUCCUCUUGUUUUAUGAGAUAACACCCAAGAUAAACACGAAGCAGCCAGCUCUCUUUUAUAGCAUUUCUCUGGUGGGCAGAAGCUACCUAAGAUAAAUAUGUUUACAGAUAGAAAUAUGGUUGGGUUGCGGAGGGGGGGGAUAGUCCUUCCACUUGUGUAUUUUUUCCCCUUAGGAUUUAAAAAGAAAAAUCUUUAAUGUUUUUUAUUUUGCUGUAAGCCAGUGGGGAACCAUAAUUACAGAGCUGUUUGUCAAAAAACAAACGAAACACACAUGCGCAAUAGUAGCAGCUAUGCAUUAGUGCCUCUUUAUAAUUAAGAUGAAGGUGAUAUGAAAAAUAUAUUUUAGGCCAGGCAUGGUAGAGCAAGCCUCUAAUCCUAGCACUCAAGAGGCUGAGGCAGGAGGAUUGCCAGUUCAAACCUGGCCUGAGUGACAUAGUGAGAUACUGCCUCAAAAAUCAAAAAGAGAGGGUCGGGGAUUUAGCUCAGUGGUUCCGCCACCUGCUUCACUAGCACAAGGACCUGAGUUCGAUCCCCGGUACCGGGAAAAAAACAAAGAGGAAGGAAGGAAGAGAGGAAAGGAGGGAAAGAAGUAUUUUCUGCAGUAUCAUUGAUUCUGUUAUCCUCCUGCUCAUUCCCCUUUGCUUAUCUGCUUUUUCUGAAGGGCAGGUGUCCUUACGCAUCAGCACUUUCUAGGUGGCUGAGUGCCUCAGCCAGGUUUCUACCUGUGCCACCCUUGACAUUUCAACCACACAAGGGCACAGAAGGGGUCAUAGGGCUCGGGUUUCCUUCCAGAAGAGAUGAGAUCCUACUCUCCAAAGUGGACCCUUUGACCAGUGCUCCCUAAAGCUGAAAUCUUGUGGAGUAGAUGUGCUAGUGUUUUGUCUGCUGGUUUUGUGGUCCUGGGGAUUGAACCCUGGGCCUUGUGUAUGCCAGGCAAGUGCUCUUCCACUGAGCUAUAUCUCCAGCCUUUCUGGUUUUAUUUAUUUCCAGACAUGGUCUUGCAGAGUUGCUCAGGCUGGCCUUGACUUUCAAUUCUCCUGCCUCAGCCUCCUCAGUAGCUGGAAUUACAGGCACACGCUAUCACACCUGGCAUGUGAUAUUUUUGGUUAGAUCUCUGGCUGUUAUUUUUAAGAAAUGAGUGCUUACAGUUCCUCAAAUUAUCACAGUGGAUCAGGGAUCAUGUGCUUCCUGUUUGGACACAAGGGCCCCUCUUACUCCCCACUCUGGCCUUUGAGGUGUUUAUCACGAAUCUGGCCGAAAGUCUCCCGGCGACUUCCCCUGUGGCUCUGGGUGAGCCUGCUCCUGCAUUUGGAAGCUCCCGACAUUAGAGUAAGUGGAGAAGCCAUGCAUAGAAAUCAAGCCCUGGUGGUGCACACCUAUAAUCCCAGCAUUCAGGAGGCUGAGGCAGGAAGAUUGCCAGAAGUUUGAGGGAACCCUGGGCUCCCUAAUGAGUUCAAGAGCAGCUUGGACUACACAUCGAGACUUGGUCUCAAAAACACCAAAAACAGGGCCGGGGAUUUAGCUCAGUGGUUUCACUGCCUGCUGCGCAAGUGCAAGGUCCUGAGUUUGAUCCCCCAUACCAAAAAAAAAAAAAAAAAAAAGCCAAAAACAAACAAACCAGAAAUGGCUUUAAAUCUGGACUUCUGUGCUACCUUCAAAUGGGGCUGUGAAUUCACACACAAAGUUGAGCUUACAGGAGGGAAAGAAGAGAAUAUUCAUCUUGCAAUUUUAAUUUAAAU